AUAUACCAACCAAAAGCCAUGGAUGAACCAGGAGACGUGCAGUCUGCUGAGGGGUAUAUCUAUGAUUCAGGACCAGUGUUCCAGAACUGUUCAAGAAGUCCAGGUAUACAGAUGCACCUAAUGAAGUGGCCAGAGUGUAGAUGAUAAAUAACAAUGGACCCUGCACCGAUCCAUGUGGCCUCCAGUCUGAGGUUUAAAUUACAGCAAUCAAUCAAGUACUUGUGAAGACCAAUUGCUUUAUCU